GCCCCGGUAAACGGCGGCCGUAACUAUAACGGUCCUAAGGUAGCGAAAUUCCUUGUCGGGUAAGUUCCGACCUGCACGAAUGGCGUAAUGAUGGCCAGGCUGUCUCCACCCGAGACUCAGUGAAAUUGAACUCGCUGUGAAGAUGCAGUGUACCCGCGGCAAGACGGAAAGACCCCGUGAACCUUUACUAUAGCUUGACACUGAACAUUGAGCCUUGAUGUGUAGGAUAGGUGGGAGGCUUUGAAGUGUGGACGCCAGUCUGCAUGGAGCCGACCUUGAAAUACCACCCUUUAAUGUUUGAUGUUCUAAC
rnacentral:rRNA from 1 species